GGCCAUAGCUCAGUAGCAGAACAUUUGCUUUGCAUGCAGGUGGUCCCGGGUUCAAUCCCUGCCAUCUCCG